rnacentral:rRNA from 1 species
GACGAACCGUGCGAACGUUAUUCGGAAUCACUGGGCUUAAAGCGCGUGUAGGCGGGCGGGAACGUCGGUCGUUGAAAUCCCCCGGCUCAACCGGGGAAUGGGCGCCGAAACGACUCGCCUCGAGGGACGUAGGGGGACCUGGAACUUCCGGUGGAGCGGUGAAAUUCGUAGAUAUUCGGAAGAACACCAGUGGCGAAGGCGACUUACUGGACACAUAUUGACGCUGAGGUGCGAAAGCGUGGGGAGCAAACAGG